AGUCGAGGGGCAGCAUUUUAGUUUGCUUGCAAACUAAAGAUGGCGACCGGCGCACGGGUGAGUAACACGUAUCCAACCUGCCGAUAACUCGGGGAUAGCCUUUCGAAAGAAAGAUUAAUAUCCGAUGGUAUAUUAAAACCGCAUGGUUUUACUAUUAAAGAAUUUCGGUUAUCGAUGGGGAUGCGUUCCAUUAGUUUGUUGGCGGGGUAACGGCCCACCAAGACUACGAUGGAUAGGGGUUCUGAGAGGAAGGUCCCCCACAUUGGAACUGAGACACGGUCCAAACUCCUACGGGAGGCAGCAGUGAGGAAUAUUGGUCAAUGGACGAGAGUCUGAACCAGCCAAGUAGCGUGAAGGAUGACUGCCCUAUGGGUUGUAAACUUCUUUUAUAUGGGAAUAAAGUAUUCCACGUGUGGAAUUUUGUAUGUACCAUAUGAAUAAGGAUCGGCUAACUCCGUGCCAGCAGCCGCGGUAAUACGGAGGAUCCGAGCGUUAUCCGGAUUUAUUGGGUUUAAAGGGAGCGUAGGUGGAUUGUUAAGUCAGUUGUGAAAGUUUGCGGCUCAACCGUAAAAUUGCAGUUGAAACUGGCAGUCUUGAGUACAGUAGAGGUGGGCGGAAUUCGUGGUGUAGCGGUGAAAUGCUUAGAUAUCACGAAGAACUCCGAUUGCGAAGGCAGCUCACUAGACUGCAACUGACACUGAUGCUCGAAAGUGUGGGUAUCAAACAGGAUUAGAUACCCUGGUAGUCCACACAGUAAACGAUGAAUACUCGCUGUUUGCGAUAUACAGUAAGCGGCCAAGCGAAAGCAUUAAGUAUUCCACCUGGGGAGUACGCCGGCAACGGUGAAACUCAAAGGAAUUGACGGGGGCCCGCACAAGNCGGAGGAACAUGUGGUUUAAUUCGAUGAUACGCGAGGAACCUUUACCCGGGCUUAAAUUGCAUUUGAAUAAUCUGGAAACAGGUUAGCCGCAAGGCAAAUGUGAAGGUGCUGCAUGGUUGUCGUCAGCUCGUGCCGUGAGGUGUCGGCUUAAGUGCCAUAACGAGCGCAACCCUUAUCUUUAGUUACUAACAGGUCAUGCUGAGGACUCUAGAGAGACUGCCGUCGUAAGAUGUGAGGAAGGUGGGGAUGACGUCAAAUCAGCACGGCCCUUACGUCCGGGGCUACACACGUGUUACAAUGGGGGGUACAGAAGGCAGCUACCUGGCGACAGGAUGCUAAUCCCAAAAACCUCUCUCAGUUCGGAUCGAAGUCUGCAACCCGACUUCGUGAAGCUGGAUUCGCUAGUAAUCGCGCAUCAGCCAUGGCGCGGUGAAUACGUUCCCGGGCCUUGUACACACCGCCCGUCAAGCCAUGAAAGCCGGGGGUACCUGAAGUACGUAACCGCAAGGAG
rnacentral:rRNA from 1 species